rnacentral:rRNA from 1 species
CCUACGGGAGGCAGCAGUGGGGAAUAUUGGACAAUGGGCGAAAGCCUGAUCCAGCAAUGCCGCGUGAGUGAUGAAGGCCUUAGGGUUGUAAAGCUCUUUACCAGGGAUGCAGUACCUGGAGAAUAAGCCCGGCUAACUCCGUGCCAGCAGCCGCGGUAAUACGGAGGGGCUAGCGUUGUUCGGAAUUACUGGGCGUAAAGCGCACGUAGGCGGCUAUUCAAGUCGGGGGUGAAAGCCCGGGGCUCAACCCCGGAACUGCCCUCGAAACUAGGUAGCUAGAAUCUUGGAGAGGCGAGUGGAAUUCCGAGUGUAGAGGUGAAAUUCGUAGAUAUUCGGAAGAACACCAGUGGCGAAGGCGACUCGCUGGACAGAUUGACGCUGAGGUGCGAAAGCGUGGGGAGCAAACAGGAUUAGAUACCCUUGUAGUC